UAUUUUUCGGGCGAUGAGGUUCGCCCUGAACCGCCGAAAGGCUGAUGACCUCUGCAGAUAA
rnacentral:ncRNA from 2 species